GACAAGAUCCUUCAAGGAGGUCUUGGUCUGCCCAAGAGAUGAAGGCAUUCGCAGAUAACUUCAAUUAAUUCAGAACUGAAUGCACCUCCAGUGGCACUGAGCAUUGUUUUGGAUGUCAAGUGCCCGGCCAGGGGAAAGGGCACUGAGGAGGGAGCCAUUUGUUGUUCCUUUUGAGGAGAAAGGUUCACCAAGGAAGUGAUGUCAGAGGCAGGCCUGGAAUUUCCACCAAUGGUAGGAUGGCAUUGCCAGGAAGGCAAAGAGCAGAAGCAAAGACCUCGAGGCGUCAACGUGCCCAGGAUGUUGGACAUAUGUCUUGCAGUGACUGGGGUAGAGGGUGAGGCAGAGAUACCGGAGAUGAGGGCAAAAAGAGAAGCAGAUAAAGGAGGGGUGUGGUCCCAGCCUCCCGAGAGCAAAAAGAUCAUUAAGAGAAUGAGCUGGCAAGUUGGAAGUGAGGUAAGGAGGGAAUGUCUUGUGGCAUUGGUUUUCUAUUUAAAUCUCCCCAUCCAUUUCUAGUCUGGCGUCCUUUGCCAGGAAGCCGUAGGUCCUCAGCUGCAUCUGUAGAGUGCAACUGGGUCCUCAGGCAUUGCAGGCUGCUGAGUCAGCGCUUCAGGCGUCACACUGGGAUUUGCCCAGGGGCUGUGGGGAACAGAGAGAUGCGGUGUGAUCCGGAGACCUAGGUCUGAGUCCCAGCCUGCCGCCUGAAACAUUUGACUUGUCCUCUCUGGGGGCCAGUAUUUUCCUACAUGGCAUGAGGAGUUGGGACCAGGGCUUCUAUAUUCUGCCCUCGAGAAGCUGCCCCUGUAGCUACACAGUGAAAGCCAAGGCACAGGAAGGAAUCUGAAACAAGGCUGGGGGAAUUGUUGGAAACAUCUCAGAAGGUAAGCCCCAGGCAGUUGGAGGGUUGACACACGUGCUCUGGGUCAAUGUGGGCAGAAAGUGGUCCCAGACCCUGAAUGUGAUCACCACAGACAAGCAGUCUAGACAAAGACGUCUUGUGAGACUGUGCCUCUGUGGGCUGAGUUGGGCCUGAAACUCAGAAGUAGGGAUGAGAUGAGAGCUCCACUGACAUUUCCUGAGAACUUAAGGGAAAGGGAAGGAGAAGAGGAUUGAAGUGAAUAGGGCAUAUGGCACACACCUUCUCGGUUAUUACCAUCUAGCCUCUCAAUAAUCCAGGAUGGGUGUCAUCAUCACCAUUUUUUGCAGACAGAGAAACCAUGUUCAGAGAGGUUAAGAGACUUGCCCAAUGUCACACAGCUAGUUUGAGGCAGGGCGAGAUUCAAACCUAGGUCUGCCUGACUCCAUGCUCAGUGUCAUCUGCUCUUGGUCAUUUCUGGUUCAUUGUCCUUUUCCAUAAUGCAGCUUUUCAGUCUAAUGGGUGGUGAAAUAUUUCCUUAAUUUCUCCCUUGAGCAUAUCUCACAAAAAGGAGCUGACCAGAACUUUGUGAUUCAAGGCCAGAUACAUUAUGACCUCUUCUUGCAAAAAAUGUGCUAACAAUCCCAGUCACCUCCAGGUCCCUGUGAAGGCUACUGAAAUGCUCUAAAUGAAUAGAGUUCACCUCUUUAAAAGGAAAAGUCCACCUGAGGGCUUCCCUCCACCCUCUACUAAUAAUAAUGACACCAAGCAAAACAUACUUCCUGUUAGCUCCAAGGUAAAUGUCCCCUGGAUCCUAGAAGGAAAGGUCACUAGGGAUUCACUUCCACAUUUGUUGUAAAACCAGGACUUUUUUAUUGCACAUAUAACCUUUCCUAAAACCACAAGGGCAAAAUUUCAAUCAGGAUUUAGUGCCCAGAAAAAACUAAAACUGGAAGGCACUGCAUCUUCCCCAAGGAACUGGCAAGCAUCUUCCUUGCUAAUAAGAAGAGCUCCGUAACUGAUCAGUCUUCCCUUCUUGCACAGGUUGCCAGGAAGCUCAGAGCCAAAUUCCACCUUCUAACAGCUUUGGCAGUUGCAUCCUUCUUAUUACUGCUUUACUGUUUCUAAUCCUACUGUCUCAGCCUUGUUUUCUCUGCCUUUUAUUAAAGAUGUUCCCCUUUUUAAUGGUAAGAGAUAAAUGCUUUAAAUAAAUCCACAUUUGGAAGAGCUGCUGAAGGGACCUGGAUUCCACAGGCCUUAUGUUAAGCCAGGCACAGUUCUGUUCUGGUCUUGUCCAUUCGCCCAACAGCUGAGGGAUCCGUCUCUUGGAAAGAAGGAGGGACUGGCUUAAGACCAAGGAAUUGCUCAUCUAGCUGCUGACAGUGGCUAAGAUCAAAAUGCCGUGGGUCAGAUCAUUGUUGCCAUUUUUUGCUCUACUGACAAGCAGCUUGCCUUGUUCCUGCCAGCUCCCUGGGAGGCCCAAACCACUAUCCCCUAUCUGUGCUCCAGAAAAUCUCCCCCAUUAGUCCCUCCUAUUGAGGCAUGGAAAGGUGGGGAGGUAUGGGAAUAGUGGCAUGGGAGUGAGGGAGCAGCCCUAGAUCAUGAGGACAGGGAAGGCAUCUCUGAGGAGGUGGCAUUUCGGUGGGGGUCUUGCUAGAUACAAAGGAGCCAGCCCCACUGAGAGUUGAGUAGCAGAAUUUCUGGGCAGGGGACACAGCUAGUGCAAAGGCCCUGAGCAGGAUGGAAUUGGCUUGUUCUAUGAAGUGGUAGAAGACUAGUGUGCCCGGGGUGCAGUGUGGCAAGAAGGACAAGAAGCAGAUGUGGGGAGAAGUGGGUGGGAUCUCCGCCAGCCUUUUCCAGUUUGGAUUUCUUUGAAGUGCAGUGAAAGCCACUGGUUAUUUUAAAGCUGGAGAGACCCAGAACUUGAUUUGUUUUCAUGAGAUCACCUUGGUUGCCAUCUGGAUGAUAAACAUUUACUGAGUCCCAGUGAGUUUGUAGGCAUGCUCAUAAACCAUCUCAUUGAAUUAUCCCUGAAUUCUAGAUGACAUUGAAGCAAACAUGUCUCUUUUUUCUGGCUCCCCAGCAUCUGAUUCCCCUUCCAGUGGCUGGAGAGCAUCCCACCUUCUGACCCUUGGGGAGAAGCAGAGUGUGCCCUUUCCCUGCCCACUGGAUACGCUGAAACAACGAAAACUCCCUUCCCCGGCCUCCCUGCAGUAAGUCAAAGAUGGUGUCGAAAAUGGUGAAAUCAAGAACUAGAAUUAUGAAGAUUUAAAAACAGAAGAAACACCUCCCAGAGUUGCAAGUGGUCACCUGUCCCAGAGAGCUGGUGAGAUGAGAUGGGGAGGCGUCAGCUGAGUUUUAUGGUAAGUCCUGGGGAACCACUGGACGUCGAAAACUAUAAACCUUUUAUUAAAAAUAAAGUUAUGGAAAUAGAAAAAAAAGGGGGGGGGGGAAUCUGACUCUUAGAUUGCAAUCUGGGGAACUGAUUGUCUUCUCCAAGAUUUCUGCCACCCAGGAGCCGAACCAGUGGUUUCUGGGCAACUCAGAAAGGCGCCUCUUGUUUGGGACACUUUACUGCCAUCUGCUGGACAACUGAAGUAAUACCUUUACAAAUGGGUGACGGAAUGGGUGUGAAGCUCCUCGCACCCGGCACCUGGUUUAUGUCCUGCACCACUUGUAUAGAGCAAGCGAGGCCUUGCAAUUGGUGGCCACCGGUCCAGGACACUCCUGAAGGGGCUUUGUUUGGUGAGGCUGUUGCACCAGGGAGGCCAGAGCGGCAGCGGCCUGUCUUCCUUCUGGGCACUUUAGCCCCCAGGUCGGAGGAGAGCUCCUUGGCAGUUCCAGCUCAUAGAUGAUUGGGUCCGGCUGCAUGUUGAUUUCAGGGUCUUUCUCCUACCUGGCCCCACCAGUGACUGGCUUAGAAGAAAUUCCUCAAACUCCUACCUGACCCUUCAGAAAAAUUGUAAUGCUAUCUAAAUCCCCCACCUUUCACCCCCACGCCUGUUUUACAUUUUCCUCGUGAUUUCAAUCAGGGUUGGGGGUGACAUGUGGGCAAGCCAGAUCUCCAUAAGGGCGUUGUACUCAGGGCCUUCAUUUUUCUGACUCCGAAUUUUAGCUGCCACUUCUUGGGUCUGCAUGAGGACUAGUCGUUCUUGGAAGAAAAAGCUGCCCCCCACCCAAGAAAGGAGAUGAAAAAUUCUUUGUGUGAAGCUUAGCAUUGCCGAAGGUAUAGGUACUGUCCCUCCCAGGGGCAUUUGCAUGCAAAGUGUAUAAACUACAGAAAUAAAGGAGAGGUUUGGAUGAAGGUCA